UACGUAGGGUGCAAGCGUUGUCCGGAAUUAUUGGGCGUAAAGAGCUCGUAGGCGGUCUGUCGCGUCGGAUGUGAAAAUCAGGGCUCAACCCUGGACCUGCAUUCGAUACGGGCAGACUAGAGUUCGGUAGGGGAGACUGGAAUUCCUGGUGUAGCGGUGAAAUGCGCAGAUAUCAGGAGGAACACCGGUGGCGAAGGCGGGUCUCUGGGCCGAUACUGACGCUGAGGAGCGAAAGCGUGGGGAGCGAACAGG
rnacentral:rRNA from 1 species